rnacentral:rRNA from 1 species
GCUUGCUUAAAGGGGCCGUAGCCGGUUUGGUAAUCUUCUGUGAAAUUGUCAGGCUUAACCUGGCAACGUGCAGGAGACACUGCCAGACUCGAGAUCGGGAGGGGUUAGAAGUAUUCCUGGGGGAACGGUAAAAUGUUAUAAUCCCAGGAGGACUACCUAUGGCGAAGGCAUCUAACCAGAACGAAUCUGACGGUGAGGGACGAAAGCUAGGGGAGCAAACCGGAUUAGAUACCCGAGUAGUCCUGGCUGUAAACGCUGUGAGCUAGGUGUCGCAUAUUCCUCGUGAAUAUGCGGUGUCGAAAUGAAGAUGAUAAGCUCACCGCCUGGGAAGUACGGCCGCAAGACUGAAACUUUAAGGAAUUGGCGGGGGCGCACAACAAGGGGUGGAGCGUGCGGUUUAAUCUGAUUCAACGCAGAGCACCUUACUAGAAGCGACGGCAGUAUGAAGGCCAGUCUGAAGGGCUUGCCUGACGAGCCGAGAGGUGGUGCGUGGCCGUCGUCAGCUCGUGCCGCGAGGUGUCCUCUUAAGUGAGGUAACGAGCGAGAUCUGCGCCUACAAUUGCUAACGACCUCUGGGAUCGAGCACAUUGUGGGGACUGCCCGGGAAACUGGGAGGAAGGAGCAGGCAACGGUAGGUCCGCAUGCCCCGAAAAGCC